GGGCUCGUAGCUCAGCUAGAUGCAGAGUGCCUCUGCAAUUUGCAGGCACUCCGUGUCCUGCAAUGGUAGAGCGUCGGACUUUUAAUCCGCAGGUCGAGGGUUCAAAUCCCUCCGAGCCCG
rnacentral:tRNA from 1 species